rnacentral:rRNA from 1 species
UGAAUACGAGACGCUAAGGCGUCGAAGUAGUGUAUGUCAUACUUCCAAGAAAAGCUUGCACUGUCAUAGAUAAAAAACGCCUGUACCAUAACCGACACAGGUGGGUAGGUAGAGUAUACUAAGGGGCGCGAGAUAACUCUCUCUAAGGAACUCGGCAAAAUAACUCCGUAACUUCGGGAGAAGGAGUGCCUUAUUCUUAAGGUUGCAAUAACAAGAUCCAAGCAACUGUUUAUCAAAAACACAGGUCUCCGCUAAGUCGUAAGACGAUGUAUGGGGGCUGACGCCUGCCCAGUGCCAGAAGGUUAAAGAAGCUGGUUAGCAUUUGCGAAGCUAGUAACUGAAGCCCUGGUGAACGGCGGCCGUAACAAUAACGGUCCUAAGGUAGCGAAAUUCCUUGUCGGGUAAGUUCCGACCCGCACGAAAGGCGUAAUGAUUUGGAUACUGUCUCGGAGAGGGGCUCGGUGAAAUAGACUUGUCUGUGAAGAUGCGGACUACCUGCACCAGGACAGAAAGACCCUAUGAAGCUUUACUGUAACUUGAAAUUGAAAUUGGACUUUAUUCGCGCAGUAUAGGUGGGAGGCGUUGAUUAUAAUCUUGCGGGAUUAUUGGAGCCAUUAGUGAGAUACCACUCUUGUAAUGUUAGAUUUCUAACUUUGAAUCAUUAUCUGGUCAAAGAACAGUUUCAGGCGGGCAGUUUGACUGGGGCGGUCGCCUCCCAAACGGUAACGGAGGCGCACAAAGGUUUCCUCUGAACGGUUAGAAAUCGUAUCUAGAGUGUAAAGGCAUAAGGAAGCUUGACUGUGAGACCUACAAGUCGAGCAGGGACGAAAGUCGGUCUUAGUGAUCUGACGGUACUGAGUGGAAAGGCCGUCACUCAACGGAUAAAAGUUACUCUAGGAUAACAGGCUGAUCUCCCCCAAGAGUUCACAUCGACGGGGAGGUUUGGCACCUCGAUGUCGGCUCAUCGCAUCCUGGGGCGGUAGUACGUCCCAAGGGUUGGGCUGUUCGCCCAUGAAAGCGGUACGCGAGCUGGGUUCAGAACGUCGUGAGACAGUUCGGUCCAUAUCCGGUGUAGGCGUUAGAAUAUUGAGAGGAGCCUUCUUUAGUACGAGAGGACCGAGAAGGACAUACCUCUGGUGUACCAGUUAUCGUGCCAACGGUAGACGCUGGGUAGCUAUGUAUGGAGUGGAUAACCGCUGAAAGCAUCUAAGUGGGAAGCCCACCUCAAGAUAAGUAUUCUCAC